rnacentral:ncRNA from 1 species
AACAGACAUUGUAAAUAAUUGGAAUCUUACAAUUGGGAAACAAUAACAUGGUUUAUGUGCUCGUUCUGGGUAAAUAGAGUUUCUAUCAUUUAUGAUAGUUAUUUGUUCCCCGGAUAGUUAGUUACGUAGCCAAUUGUGGAACUUUCUUGCUAAAAUUUUUAAGAAUACUAAUUUUUAAUUAGUUCUUUUAAAUUAUAACGAUUAUCAAUUAACAAUCAAUUCAGAACUGGCACGGACUUGGGGAAUCCGACUGUCUAAUUAAAACAAAGCAUUGUGAUGGCCCUAGCGGGUGUUGACACAAUGUGAUUUCUGCCCAGUGCUCUGAAUGUCAAAGUGAAGAAAUUCAAGUAAGCGCGGGUCAACGGCGGGAGUAACUAUGACUCUCUUAAGGUAGCCAAAUGCCUCGUCAUCUAAUUAGUGACGCGCAUGAAUGGAUUAACGAGAUUCCUACUGUCCCUAUCUACUAUCUAGCGAAACCACAGCCAAGGGAACGGGCUUGGAAUAAUUAGCGGGGAAAGAAGACCCUUUUGAGCUUGACUCUAAUCUGGCAGUGUAAGGAGACAUAAGAGGUGUAGAAUAAGUGGGAGAUAUUAUUCCUUGUGUUUGAUAUCGCCAAUGAAAUACCACUACUCUUAUUGUUUCCUUACUUACUUGAUUAAAUGGAACGUGUAUCAUUUCCUAGCCAUUAUACGGAUAUAUUUAUUAUAUCUUAUGGUAUUGGGUUUUGAUGCAAGCUUCUUGAUCAAAGUAUCACGAGUUUGUUAUAUAAUCGCAAACAAAUUCUUUAAUGAGAGAGUGCAUUUAUGUAUUUUUAAUUUGAAAUAUUUGGUAUAACUCCAAUUACUCAGGUAUGAUCCAAUUCAAGG